rnacentral:tRNA from 1 species
GUGGUGGCUUAGUGGUUAAAGCUUUUGACUGCUAACCAAAAGAUUGGUGGCUGAAAACCACUAGCCACU